ACCCAGCAUGGUAUCCCCACCAUAAUUUCCACGCAAAACGUAGCUCGGCUACUUAACCGUGCCGAGGAUGCAUUGUUAACAUUCCUGGUUUGAAUCAGUAUUCGUCAUUGCGAACGUCGUUCGUAUUGUACCUUAAGUUAAUUUUUUUAUUGAUCGAAACAAUUAAUUGCGUCGCACGUUUACAAUGAUUCACCAAAAUGCUGGUGACAAUAUUAAUUUUUUGCUCGGUAUCUAUCUGGUUACGAGUCAUAAAAUCAAUUUCAUGCACAUCAUUUCUGAUAUAGCGCAAAAUUAUGCUUCAUAUUUGCAGAAUCAUUAUUCUAAUUGACCUUUGAAGCUCUAUUAUCUUUAAAAUAGCUGAAUCCAAUCUACAUUUGUUUACGUUAUAUAUCUUCAUCUUGACACUGAAAACAGAUCACGUGCUUUUUAUACUACACUCGGUGUCAAUAUCCAGUAAAAAAUAUUAUAAACCAUUCUACUUUGAAUAUAUCGAAAAAAAUAUUUCACAAUUAAAUUAGGGAAAGAAAGAGAACCAUUAGUCUGUUCUUAGAAUCUUGUUGAAAAUAUUAUUUCGUCUAAUCUAUUAUUUUCUUCUUUAUUUAUUCAUUCGCAAUUUAUUGGCCGGUGAUUUUCAAUCAAUUUCCAGCUGGUAAUUAAGUUAAUACUCUUCUUAGUAUCCUACGAUAGCUACUGCGUACGUUCAUUGUUACGCUAAACGAAAGACGGUUGAGAAUAAAAUGGUACUCGGCUCAGAGUUGUAAGGCCGGAUCCGCUUGAAAAGGAAACGCUGAAAAGGGUGAGCUUAGAAAAGGUUGUUAUGCUCUGCUUUAUCUUGCCCAGGAUGAUCCCAAAAAAUCGAUUCAACGGUUAUUUCUUCGAAUCGCACCCUUGUACAACUGCGUUGCUCGGAACCCCGUUCGACUUGUUUUUUUUUUUCUUGGUAAAGUGUACUUUACCACCAGUGUUAUCUGUCUCAAACCAGACGUCAACCGGAAAUAUUGGUCAUAGUGUUAGCAUUUCAUCGAUAGUGUUGCCCAACUAACCGCAUGCAGAUCAAUUUCCCUGGUGCAUGAUCCAUUGAUCUCGAUCAAAUGGAAUAUAUUAAUGAAUGCAUCGGAUAACGGUUACGAUCAAUAACUAUCCUACGGUCUAAGACACUUUAUCGUCAAAUCUUCCAGAGCUCCGAAAAUUCCUCCGCAGUUCCUUAGGAAACAGAAUCCAUCAAGUUAAUUAUUUCAAAUUGAUCGAGUUUAAUCUACUUCCUGAUAUUCCACAUAAAUCCAAAAUUUUCUAUUCAAUGAUGUAUUCAAUGGAAAACAUAACGUAUUGGACAUUUAUAUAUGGUUAGAUACUAAUUACAUUUUCUCUAAUAGGCCUGAGCAAGAACCAUGAUUAGAGCUAAAAGAAAAUAUUCAAUCAUUGGUGGCUUGAUGAAAUUGCUAAAAAUAGUUGCCAUCGGUUACUGGUGUUUGAUGGACGGUUUUACGAGUCCAUGAAUGGGUGAUGCGUAUCGUAUUUUUGAAGGUAAACCGGCACGUGAAAGGAGUAGAAUAAUAGUUUGGCAAUCGUUCAAGUAUUUAUAAGAAUUCAUCAAGAAUAUAGAAUUUGUGAACACGUGUACGGCUCGCGACAAGAAUCGUCUAUCACGAAGCCAAUAUCUUUUCAACUUAUGUUUUAUGUUACAAGUAUGACGAAGCGGAGAAUGAUCGGGGAAAGAGAAACGAUCGGUUAAACGUUACAUCGAGCUAAAAUUGUGAAUUAAAGUUGCGAAGAAAUUAGAUUCCUGUAACUUCGGGGAAGGAAGACUCUAAUCCGUAAGAGAGCAAAUACAUAUUAGAGGAAUUUCGAAGGUCACCUGUAACAAUGAUCCAUAGAGAAGAGUUUUAUUAAGCGCUAGAACGAUGACGAGCGAGGCAUAACUGUCGACGAAUGAUCAUGUAAUGUGUAUAACGUAAUGUUAUAACAGUAAUAAAGUGCGUGUGCACUGGUAGUAUAUCUGUAAUAGGUGUUGGCCAUUUCAACAUCAUGGCCAUCCAGAUACUUCCAGACGUCCGUAGGAUUAUUCUUAUUCAUUGUUUUCAUCCGUUAUAGAGACUUGAGAUGCUUGCCAUGUUUCUGCAAUUAUAUAAUAUACUAUAUAAUUCGUUCCUUAUAAUUCAUUAACGCGAGUCAUCACAGGAAUGCUAUUGAUCAGACGUCAGCUGAUUAUCGAGGAAAGUUUCACAAUCGCAGAAUUAAAUUAUUCUAAGACACUGUUUGACAUAAAACGCUUCUAAAUAUUUUGAAUAUUCCAAAUCUUCCGUAUAGCAUAUCUGAUUCACGUAAACAUCGUUGGAAUAGGUCAUCUUGGAUUAUUACUGCGAAAUAUAUCACCAUCUUGUUUGCAUUACAUUUCAACAUAUUUUGAUACCAUUCACUGUACAGUUUAUUUUCUAGGCAACUAUCCAAGGUAAACGAAAUAAUCUUUCACGAGCCACCAACGAACUAGAUAUUAUUGGCGAGCUCGUUAUUUCAACGACGUCGACAUGCCCGGCGAUCAGUAAUUUUUUUCGUUUCAUCGUCCAUUGAUUCCAGGUCGAAACGAGACUGAUAGUACAUAGCCGCUUUGACGAAUAUUGCAGAGGACUAUUUUUACUUUGAUCCUUGAAAAUUUCUUCGAAGUACUAGCUUAAAAAUCAAAGACCAAGAACAAUUUCCAAAGUAUAACCGAACGCAGUCUUACGCGAUACUCAUUUCAAAUUGCAAUAUUGAAAAGUUAAUCAAAUGGAGAAAUAAUGAUUGGGAAGAAUGAAAUGUGUCUCAGGUAACCGGACGUUAUAUUGGCAUGCAGACAACUAGACUAAGAAGAGGGUCAGAAUUACAGAUUUAUGCUAAUUGGUAACUUAUUAAUAUUGCUGAUAUCAUUUACUCGCAGUUGACCAGCGGGUACUGCGCCAUUUUCAACGCUUAGAAGCACUUAACAUCGAAAUUUUUCCGUUUUCCUGCUUGUGUCAAUGAUUAGCACAUUGCGAAACGAUAAUUCUUCUUCAAGACAUCCGAGGAAUCUAAAUAACAAGUGAAGACGCGCUAAGAAUCGUCGUGUUAUUUUCCUUCCGACGUGUUUCACAACGUCUGUCUUCAUCUUAGAGUAAAUACUGCAUCUCUGUAACCUUCGAAAGAUGCAAACCACAAAAAACUUUCGUAGGUCCUUCUCUCGACAUCUGCGGCCGUAGUACUUAGAUCUUAAUCGAUGCGUCCGUGAAUUUAACGCAUAAACCUUUCACCAAAACGUCACGAUCUCGUGACCCUUUUGCAUCCGUGGUAUCCACAGUUACGUCAGUUUUCUUUCUUCGUGUACCGGCUCGUGCGAACGUUAUAACUCGUUGAGGCACGAAAUAUUCACGGUCACAAUCAACUGCAGCCUUCGUCGGGACGAGCUUUCACUUCAAGUUGCAUCAAUGAAACGAUAAGUUUUUUCUGCGAGGAUCAUAAGAAGGAACGUAACAAAAAUUCGAACUUGAUCCAGUGCAUCGACAAACGGUCUUAUGCAACGCGCUAGAAAUAAAGUUACAUGAAAGGUUCGACGCUGUAAAUCGUAAACAGCGCAGGUGGCUAAUGUAGCGCCAUGCAUACGAACAGAAGAUAAAUUGCUCGAGCACAAUAAAGAUAAAUUUUGCUAUACGUAAUAUCGACAAGAAAUUAUUCGAAUCUGUCCAUUAGUAACUUGCUGUUAGAAUCGACAACCUAUCAUUUAUUUGGACAUUUCUUUUCCACCGACGCCUCCUUCUUUCGUUCAUCGCAAAUCGACCAAUUCUUUUCCAACUCAACUUGUGACUCUCCCACUGUGUCAAAACUAAAAGUUCGAUGAGCUCGAAACAGGACAAUUCACCCUCGCUGAGCAUCAGAUUGCAGUCGUAAAUCGUAGGGAAAUCUCCCUGUUAAAAUCCGCCGACAGAAUAUCCUUUCCAGUCUAUGAAAUUUUUAUUUCACAAUCCUCUUACGCUCUUUCUAUAACAAUCGUUUUUAACUUGAAAUGGAGGACGUACAUGAUGAAACCAUCAUAGUCCUAUCUUGUCAAGGAUCGCUUUAAUACUUCUCAGAUCAAUAUCGGUUCCUCAGUCAACCUUCCUGUGCUAACUUUCCGCUGAACGAAGGCGCUACUGCGCCUUAUUCCAUAUUAGAAACACAGGAAUCAGAUUCCAAGGACGCUGAAUAAUAUUCCACGAACUGUCCAGGUAUUGGACCUGAUUCUGCCACAGUUAGUAUGCAAGCCCAUAAACGGGAGAAAUGAGAAGUGGCGCUGGAAAUAAGUCAGUUCUGAUUUAACGAUCAUAAAUGUGCGAACUAGUAUAUCGGCAAAGGCCGCGCCCUGCGCAUCCGUUUCCUAGUGGCCUACUAAAACCAACGUUCUCCUUCUCUCUCUCUUUCUCUCUCUCGUUCUCUUCAUGUCUGUACGUCGUGGAUGAAAAUAACACCAUCAAAGCAGGAAGGCAAGCUAGCUGGUUUACGGAUUAGAAACGUGAAGAGGGAGGUGGGUCGAAGGAAUGAUAGCGCUCCUAUCAAUAAGUCAGGCCAAGGGAAAGGAAUAUAUUCGAUUGAAAUCGAUUGAACUUUGGAUGAUCAGCUUUUUAUCUUUACCUAAUGGAUAUUGUGCGAGCUGUAGGCAUCGCUUGUCUAUCAGUAGAAGUGGCUUACACCGGAUUACCUUUGAUUUUAAGCAGUCAAAACCGUGAAAUCGUUGGUCAGUGAUUUUCACUAGGGCAACGAUCCGUACUGAACUGAAAGUAAUACGCUGGAAUUGUGCUUCCGGAGUUUUCAAGCUGCUGAGCUUUUCAAAUGUCUUCCAAGUAUCGACCGGAGGCUGGCAGACCUGUUCGAGUUCGCGUCGAUUUUAUUCUGUAUCGUAGUUUUGAUUCUACGGCCAGGAGAAGAGCGCUGAACGUAUCUCCCACAUUCCCAGUGGAUGCUAAUUUAGGUCGUGGUGUCACACAUCCCGAAAAGUGAAGCGAAGGUUUCGCAGUAAUGCUGUUAGCGCGAGCGUUACGAAAAAUUAGCACAAUGACGAUGCAGGCAACAUAUGAUAAAGAGUUUCAUGACAUUCGAUUCGCAAUUGUUAUUCCCAUGGAUCAUAAAGGGUACGUCUAAACGAGAUUAGAAAAGAAGAAAGCAAAACUAGGACGUUGGAUGCCUUCGGGUAGCAUCGUUUUCACUUGCAAUUCAACUCAUUUUGCACUCAAUUAGCGAUCACGAGUAUUAACUCUCUGUAUGGAAGUUCUUCACAGAUGGUUAUGUUCUAAAUUAUCUUUAAUUUACUGUGAACAGAUCAGGAGAUCUCUCGGGUUUUUUUCUCAGUGUCUUAUAAAGCUUAAAGUUAUAUGUAGCUUUGUACAGUAUUAUUAUUUUAUCCUUGAAGGAAGUUGAUUAUCGAAACGUUUGUUUCUCCGUCAUGUAACAAAAAUACUAGUCGAGAAUUACCAACCAGUUAGCUGGUGAUAAUACGAUAAACGAGCACGUCUGCAAACAUUGGACGUGUUAACUCCCCGAUUGGAUCAUUACCGCUUCGAAGCCCAAAGCGGGAGAAAUGUUUCGACGCUUCCAGAGAUUUUUACGCUCCAUCGGGGAACGCAGACCGUUUAAUUAAAUUGAGCGACGUUUCGUGGGAGACUACGUAAUCCACGGGAAAUAUUCAAUGAACUCCAAUGUCGGGACAGCUCGGUGGCCCUGAUCAACAGCAAACGAAUAAAGAAAUCUUAGUAGUUAAUUUCAUUUCUUCAGAAUCGAAUAGUGUUCCAAUUUAGAAUUCAUCCCAGGAGAACGUAUUUUGAUAAACGAAAUUGUCAACGAAAUGGAAUAAAAUCUUAGUGACUGUAAUAGAAUAUUUAUCAUUUGGACGACGUACAUAAUGAAACUUAAUUGCUAUUCCCUGAAAUGUAUUUCUAUCGGACAUUGUAUUAACUUAAAGUUGACAGAAGGUUCAACGAAGUUGAAAUCGACGUACCUAUUAAUCAAGAUAACUUAAUGAAAGAGUAGGAAAUUGAAAUACUUGGGUUUUCUAUCCUGCCUACUGCUCCUGGCAAUUCAGCAAUAGAUUUAAUUUCAAUCGAGUGACGAGGAAAACGUACCAACGUCGAAUGAACUGGUAAUAAUAUUUCAAUCCAUAUUCGUAACUGAUUUCAUCCCCAAAAACCCAUUUUCAACCCUCGAUUACCGGAACAAGAUGAAAGGUAUGGUAGUUUAUUUGAAAUAAUGAACUUUCAAAGAGAAUCAUUGACGGCUGUAAUAAGUGCAGUAAUUUCUUUCCUAUUUAUUUCAAAAGCAUUGUUUUUAAACGUUCCAUAUAUAAAAGAAAUAAUUGCUGAAUGUAUCAAAAGCCUCAGGUAUUUAACUUAAGAUAAUACUAUUAUUAUACGUCCAUAUUGUCCUAUUUUAUAAACAGAGAAUUACUCACAAAAUUAUGGCACUCGAAAGUCGCCGACACAAAAUUACGCACGAAUAUCGAGAAUUCUAGAUAUCAAACAAAAUAGAAACAAGAACGCAGAAAAAUCCUCUCAUAGCCUUGCUUCGCGUGAGUGCAUUUUAAAAGAGGUCGCUCUACCAUGAUAUAGUGUAUUUUCGCUGCAGCAGUCGUUGCGGCGUCGUUGCUGUAUAAGGAAACGGCUUGGUGCUUUUACGCAAUAAGUAGACACACGAACGUGUUGUUUCUUGGCGAGAUAAUACGUGUGUUGUUGGUUGCAAGAAAAAAUUUCUACGAUUAAAAACAUCAACAUGGUCACGUAGAAAAAUGGUCCGGUGACCAAGGUAGCCAAGACCUUGAAGACUAAAGCUGACUAGUUUGCUUCAAAGAAACCAUCUGUCUUGAAUGUAAUGGUUCACGUCAUAUCUCAACGAUGCUCUAUCUUGCGCAACAUCCUUCAUUUUAAACCUACAAAGUUACAUCGAGUUUUGGUAAGGAUCCAGAAUUUAUUAACCGUAUGAAAAAUCCAGUGAUUUCAUGCGAGAAACUUUCAUUUUUAUUGUCAUACGCAUCGUUGCGUUAUAAAGAUGUGGCUGAUGAAACAUCGUGUUUAUUGAAAUUAAUAACGAGGCAAUUGAAAGUGUGUCGCGACUUUGUUUCGACGUGAAAGGAGGGAACGAUUGUCUGCUUCUUGUCGUGUCGUGCUGAUCCAUGAAUAGAGGCUUUCCCAUGGAGAAAAUCUAUUAUUUUCAUAAGUACGCCCUCUCAGAACGCGCGAAGGAACGGAUUACGUAAUGUAUUUUCAUUUUACGUAACGACCAUUACAAAACUGUAAGCAAUGAGUCAUCUUCCAGUCAAAGUCAGAGAUCAGUCUGAUCUAGUUUCUCCUGUCGGGUAUGUAUCGCAAAGGAGCAAAGUACGAUCUCUUGUAAAUCUAAACUCUAGUAAUUUUCAUCAGUACUUAAGUAAAAUGUUUUAUAAUUUAAUUUACAGGUUUAUGUCCUUGUUUUGUCUUUUCUAUUGUUUCAAACGGCCCUUUCUAUGAAUCAUUAUUGUUGAAAUCCUUUCUUUGGUAUCUCUGUACUCCUUUAUCAUUCCUGCAACUCCUUUUCAAGUACUCUUACUAUUUCUUUAUUACUGGAAUUCCUGUUUUUAUAUCUUGCAUUUUUGUAUUGCUGAAACUCCUUUUCCUUGAUCGUUAAUAUUUUAUUUCUUAUUCGCAUUACUUAUUAUGAUAUUCCACUGGUAUUUCAUUAUUAUUCCAUACUGCUUUUUUUGUUACUACAAUUUCUCAUUUCCUGCAACGGUUCUCUUGAUGCUAAAAAAUCCUCCUAGCAAUUUCUCCCAUCGAAGUCUUCUACGAUUCUUUCCUCUUUGGCUCAUUAUGCAAAUUUUAAGCUUCAAUUUCGUCGUGGUGGAAUACAUAUAUAUCAAGAAGGCAUCGCCAAACACUGUACUCGGAAAGAGUUGCGAAUCAGAACAGAGCUUCCAGAAAUGUCCACAGUCCUCAAAUGAUCGUUAUAAAUAUUGAGAAAGCAACUCCUAUUGAUCACAACGAAGAAGCUCCAUUUCUUUACAUGGUACGCUAUUUUCUUAUUCUUAAUAGAAUAGCAAAUGUUCAGACAAUUUUAAUGAUCUUCAGUACAGAGUAAUUCAAAGUGUACAAUAAGGAACCGAAAUCUCAAUUAGAACUGUAUAAAGUGUAAUUUAGCCUUGAUUCAAUCGCUAUUCAAAAACAUUGAAGAAUAUGUUGCGAAUCGACCCUGAGUGUCAUGAUAUCAAUCGGUGCCGCCACAUAAUGCUUUAAUUUAGGACCAUGCUAUACAGUAGAAGCUUUUGCACCUAGCAUUCGUGCUCAUUACAUCACUCUGGGCGUGAAAUUCAAUAAUUAAGUCAAUGCUUCUUUCAUCAGGUGAAAACACAGGAUAUCUCCUAAUUUAUUCGUAUUGUAUCAUUAGUCGGGAAUACAAUAGUAAUGAAUAGAAAACAUUUAAUGUUAUUGGACAAGGUGAACGAUCAUCAAUAUUGCAAACUAAUUACUUUGACAAUUGUCAUGUGUGAAAAUAAGCUGGAAAAAUGGAUUCCUCUGAUAUUCGUAGAAGAAUCGUAGCAUUCGGAAAAGGAAACUUCGGAGGAUAUAUUAUUAUUCAAAUUCUAUUCAUAAUAUAAACUUCUAGGAAGUCUUCAGUGAAGGCUGUAAUGAUAGUCAUCAGCAGUAUUUUUUCCAUAGAUGUAUUAAAAUGAAUUUUUAAAUUCGUAAACGUAAAAUCUAAAAAAUUGUAAAUAAUGAGUAAAGAAGUCAUGGCUGUCGACUCUGUCGAUAAUAGACAAUACAGUAGAGUAAACUCUUCCAAUUGAAUAAUUUUAGUCCACUUCAUAGAAGGAAUUUAGUCAUUAGAUGUUUCAGUGUCAUAACGUAUGCUUAAAGGAUUAGGACAUGACCGAGGUCCAAACUUUCGAGGCCGCAAAACGAGAGUAGGUCAUUGGCAAAAUGACUCGCCAGUUCAAGAUACCAAGAUCAACGAAUUAAAUGGUCAGCGGUUAAAUAAAGGAUCUAAUAGCAUGGACAAUUUCUUUAGGAAAGUAUUAAUGAAUAAAAUAAAAUAAAAUAAUAUAUUGACGAUGGCAAAAUUUAUAACAAAUUGAUUCAUUAUUUAUCUCGUGGCUAUAUCUUCUACACAUUCAAAGGUGAAGAAACAAUAUUAGACGAAAUGAGAACUCUCUCAAUGAAUGAUUUCUAAGAUAGGGUUCCCAAAACUUUAUCCUCGAUCAAAGUCAUGGCUACAACACAAGUAUUUUACAUCGCUUUUCCACAUGGGUAGGUAUUUAUAAAAUAAAUUGAUCUUAAUCCUUGAAAAGUUGUGAUGUAAAAAACUUGAAAAUUAUAAUUUGGUUACUCCAUCAAAUUCAAUUAUAAAUAAUCAGAUAGAAUUUAAACAAUUUAUACAGUGUUUUAACUGUAUGAAAACGCUUGUUAGAACAAUCUUACACUGUUUUGAAAAAUGCAUGUAAUACAAAAGAUCAUCGGUAUUUGUUUAAA